AUGACUUUGAACAAGCUUGUAGUGCUUAUGAAAUGUAAACUAAAUGUAACAGACAAAACCAACCUUGUGAAAAAUAUUGUUAAUGCAAACAAGUGUUCCAGAAUUGUUUGUGUUCAAUUAUGAGAAAACAUGA